UGGGGAAUUUUGGACAAUGGGCGCAAGCCUGAUCCAGCAAUGCCGCGUGCAGGAUGAAGGCCUUCGGGUUGUAAACUGCUUUUGUACGGAGCGAAAAGGUCUGCCCUAAUACGGUGGGCUCAUGACGGUACCGUAAGAAUAAGCACCGGCUAACUACGUGCCAGCAGCCGCGGUAAUACGUAGGGUGCAAGCGUUAAUCGGAAUUACUGGGCGUAAAGCGUGCGCAGGCGGUUAUGCAAGACAGAGGUGAAAUCCCCGGGCUCAACCUGGGACCUGCAUUUGUGACUGUAUAGCUAGAGUACGGUAGAGGGGGAUGGAAUUCCGCGUGUAGCAGUGAAACGCGUGGAUAUGCGGAGGAACACCGAUGGCGAAGGCAAUCCCCUGGACCUGUACUGACGCUCAUGCACGAAAGCGUGGGGAGCAAACA
rnacentral:rRNA from 1 species